rnacentral:rRNA from 1 species
CUACGGGUCGCUGCAGUGGGGAAUAUUGGACAAUGGGGGAAACCCUGAUCCAGCAAUGCCGCGUGUGUGAAGAAGGCCUGCGGGUUGUAAAGCACUUUCGGUUGGGAGGACUGCUUCUAGCACUAAUAUUGUUGGAAGUUGACGUUACCUUCAGAAGAAGCACCGGCUAACUCCGUGCCAGCAGCCGCGGUAAUACGGAGGGUGCAUGCGUUAAUCGGAAUUACUGGGCGUAAAGCGCGCGUAGGCGGCUAGAUCAGUCGGGUGUGAAAGCCCCGGGCUUAACCUGGGAACUGCAUCCGAUACUGUCUAGCUUGAGUACAGGAGAGGAGAGUGGAAUUCCACAUGUAGCGGUGAAAUGCGUAGAUAUGUGGAGGAACACCAAUGGCGAAGGCAGCUCUCUGGCCUGAUACUGACGCUGAGGUGCGAAAGCGUGGGGAGCAAACGGGAUUAGAUACCCCGGUAGUC